GCAAAGCAAAACAAAAGCAUUGUUGUUUGGUGUUAAGAGCAAGGGUACUCAUUAGACAAAGGUACCCCAGAGAAAAACAACAAUGAGAGGAGUUUCUUUCUGCCUUGUGUUCUCCUUGUGUUUCUUGCUCUUGGGUUUUGUCCAAGCCAAUCCUAACUACAAGGAUGCCUUGGCAAAAUCCAUUUUGUUCUUUCAAGGUCAGAAGUCUGGGAGGCUCCCUCCUUCCCAAGAAAUCACUUGGAGGUCCAUUUCUGGCCUCGCUGAUGGCUUACUUGCCCAUGUGGAUUUAACUGGAGGCUAUUAUGAUGCCGGAGACAAUGUGAAAUUUAACUUCCCAAUGGCCUUCACUACUACAAUGCUUUCAUGGGGUACCCUUGAAUAUGGCAGACGAAUGGGCCCUGAACUCCAAAAUGCAAGGGCUGCAAUCCGUUGGGCUACAGAUUAUCUUCUGAAAUGCGCCACAGCCACCCCUGGAAAACUCUAUGUUGGCGUAGGUGAUCCUAAUGUUGAUCAUAAAUGCUGGGAGAGGCCU
rnacentral:misc_RNA from 1 species